CGCCGCCCCCCCAGCCCCCAAAAAUCCCCCCAGCAGCCACCCAGGAGCCCCCCCAGAGCCCCCCCCGAGAGGGGCGGGGCAGGAGGGCUGCAGGAGCUGCGGCGCCAGCGCUGGGCCCGCGAGGCCGCCGAGGCCGCCCGGAGCCGGGAGCUGCUCAGGGGGCUCCGGGACCCCCAAAAUCCGCCCCAAAAUCCCGCCCGGGACCCCCCCCCCGGAGCGGCACCGGCCCUACAACAGCCAGUUCCACCCGCGGCUGGCGCGGGGGGGGCGCGGGGAGCCCCCAAAAUCCACCUGAGACCCCCCCCAAAUAAACCUGAGACCCCC